UUUAAUUUUUAGUAGAGAUGAGUUCUCACUAUGUUGCUCAGUACAAAGAGAGGAAGACAGAGGAUGGGGAAAGAAAAGCACCUGGCCCAAGAUCACAUAGUUGAUCCUGCAAACAUCCAGUUCAAGUACGCCCACCUCUGCCUGCCCCACUCUGGCAGUGCUGAUCACUCCCGCUUCUCAACAUCACUGUGCUAGGUUUCAGAAUACCUAAUACUGUAAGCAUCUCACUAUGUUGAAUGAGACUCUGGUGUCUAAAGAUAUGAAUUACCACUGAACAUACCCCAAACAUAAGCUAACUGUAUUAUUUGACACUCAACGUGAGAAAGCACCACAGGAACACCUGUUGAAGCUCAGCAGGUUUCAACAAGGGAGAACUUAAAGAAAAGAAGCUCGUGGCUCUCGAGCAAGAGUCCUUCCCACGAGAUUCUUGAAGAUAAUUUUGCUCUAAUGACUUUCACCUCACCCACUGCCUACAGAACUGAGUCUUCAUGUAAAAUGAGAUAUUGCGGUGGCCUUUAAAAGCAGCCCACAAAGAAAAACACUAAUAAUCCAAUCUAAAAUUUUCAAAUUUGAAAACACGGGUAUUUGUAUAUGUCAUGUUGAAUAUAACUGAUAAAAAGUUCUUGCCAGUGAAACACUUCCAUCUAGAAUUACAAAGGCCACAAGAACUUCAGAACCAGAGAAAGCCAAAUUCCCUUGUGUGGCCGUGCCCAAGGUACUCCUGCUCCUAGCAAUCAUCCUUGAUUAUUAAGAUUGGGGAACAGAGAGAGGAACCCUGGCAAGAAAGUAGACUUGGGAGUUAAGAGACCUGAACUUGAAUCUCUUCUGUGAAGCUUCAGGCAAAUCACUUAACCUCUCUGAACCUUAGUAUCUUCCUGUGUAAGAUAAGGAUAACAACAUAUAAUUCAGAGGAUUGCUGUGAGGAUACGAAAAAUGUACCUAAAAUACCAGGCACAGUUCCUGAUAUAUAUAUGCUUAAAAGAUGUUAGUUCUCUUCUCUAUCCCAUUUGCACACCAAUCUUAAGCAUGGAGUACUUGGAUGGAAGGCAGAUUAAGUUCUUCACAGAAUUACAGCACCUUAGAAUGUUUCAAAUCUCCUAUUUUCUUAGUGCUUCACCUAAGUACUAAACAAUUGGAAAUAUGUAGUGAAACAUCCUUUGCGUAACAUGAAUUAACAGAAUUUCCUUGGCUCCUUCCUAUCAUCAAGGAUAUCAACUUCUGGCUAGAUUUCAAAACUGAAUGGCCAGGCACACUAGGGGCAGUAUGCCCUCUGCUGUUGAGAAGUGGCACCAACAUGCCACUUCCUGUUUUGGGCUCCCAAAUAAAGAUUUUUGAAUCAGAACAUGAAAAGGUGACAAGGGCCUUAGAAAUCAUGCCAUCUGUGUUGCUCAACUGAAGAAAUUCGGCUCGAAGAGGUCAGAUGACUUGGCCAGGGUCACAAGGCUGAGGCAAAGCUAGAACUUUAUUUUUGCAGUUUGGCUUACUGAACCAAUUAAAUCAUGGCACUGUAAAGGCAACACAGAAUGACCUCAGAAACAAACCUCUCUAGUCAUGCCCAGCAGUUCUUUCUAGCACGUAGUCCAAGAAAUUUCUUUUUUAAUUUUUUUUAUGAUCCAAGAAAUUUUAAAACAUGCUUCUCCACUUUACCAUGUGGAGAAGAAAUAGAUCUGUGAGAAUGGUAGGCAAGAAGAAAAGAGAAUAUCCUUUAAAUGAUGUUUAUUGUACAAAGUAAUUAUUUGGACUUAAAACCACUCAAGAAUAAAGUUUGCAUCCAGAAAAAAUCAGUAGCAACAUUACAUCUGUUAGUUUUGCUGGCAAGUUGGCGGCAGUGGGGGUGGGAGAGGUGGGGGUGGGAGGGAAUAAUGCAGAGCACCUAUCACGUGUCUGCCACCGUGCUGCUGCUUUAUGCAGAUCCCUUCCCCCUCUCAGCAGUUACCCUCUGGGGGCACUUUCAUCAUCCAGUAUUAAAUUAAGAAGGCUGAUGCUCAGAGAGACCAGAUUUGCCAAGGUAAGGUAACUAAUAAUUAGGAAUCAAAUGUAAUUCUUUUCAUGUGCUUUUAAUCCCUACUCAAUCCCACCUCCAAGAAAACCCAGAUCUUUCUGCUCCUUGCAUUGUAACAGGCUCACGCAGAUAAAGCUAACCAUAAACUUCAACCCUCAGUAAGGGACACUCUGGGUAUCUUUCUUCUAAAUUUGCAAAAUGAAGGACAAAUAUCCCAGCCAUUUACUAACAGUGACAUUGUAGAAUAUGUGGAAUGUGGGUCUCUUCAUUGACCUGACAAUAAUUAUUACUACACUACCAUUGCUAACUCCAUUAGGACACUGAUAAAACCCAAAAUCACGUUGACUCCUUCUCCGCAGCCUUUGGUUUUAGAAAACUCAGUAUGCAGUUGGAUUUAUUCAGGCACCCAGAUAUCUAAUAAUAGUUAACUGAAAUUUUACUAAAGAUACAAAAAGUUUACCCAGAGAUAUACAUGACCAAAAAUAUUAAUGCCUCCAAUAAAUCAAAGCAUCUUAAAGGAGUUUUGCAUGUGCUCUGAUUUCCAACUCUAAUGCAGAGAUGCUAAAAUAAAAUAAGACCCUCUUUCUCCCA